CAGUCGAGCGGAUGAGGGGUGCUUGCAUCCCGAUUCAGCGGCGGACGGGUGAGUAAUGCCUAGGAAUCUGCCCGAUAGUGGGGGACAACGUUUCGAAAGGAACGCUAAUACCGCAUACGUCCUACGGGAGAAAGUGGGGGCUCUUCGGACCUCACGCUAUCGGAUGAGCCUAGGUCGGAUUAGCUAGUUGGUGGGGUAAAGGCUCACCAAGGCGACGAUCCGUAACUGGUCUGAGAGGAUGAUCAGUCACACUGGAACUGAGACACGGUCCAGACUCCUACGGGAGGCAGCAGUGGGGAAUAUUGGACAAUGGGCGAAAGCCUGAUCCAGCCAUGCCGCGUGUGUGAAGAAGGUCUUCGGAUUGUAAAGCACUUUAAGUUGGGAGGAAGGGCUGUAAGCGAAUACCUUGCAGUUUUGACGUUACCGACAGAAUAAGCACCGGCUAACUUCGUGCCAGCAGCCGCGGUAAUACGAAGGGUGCAAGCGUUAAUCGGAAUUACUGGGCGUAAAGCGCGCGUAGGUGGUUUGGUAAGUUGGAUGUGAAAGCCCCGGGCUCAACCUGGGAACUGCAUCCAAAACUGCCUGACUAGAGUACGGUAGAGGGUGGUGGAAUUUCCUGUGUAGCGGUGAAAUGCGUAGAUAUAGGAAGGAACACCAGUGGCGAAGGCGACCACCUGGACUGAUACUGACACUGAGGUGCGAAAGCGUGGGGAGC
rnacentral:rRNA from 1 species